rnacentral:rRNA from 1 species
AUUGAACGCUGGCGGCAUGCUUUACACAUGCAAGUCGAACGGCAGCACGGGGGCAACCCUGGUGGCGAGUGGCGAACGGGUGAGUAACACAUCGGAACGUGUCCAGUUGUGGGGGAUAACCCAUCGAAAGGUGGGCUAAUACCGCAUGAGCUGGCAACAGGAAAGCGGGGGACCCGCAAGGGCCUUGUGCGAUUGGAGCGGCCGAUGUCCGAUUAGCUAGUUGGUGGGGUAAAGGCCUACCAAGGCUUCGAUCGGUAGCUGGUCUGAGAGGAUGAUCAGCCACACUGGGACUGAGACACGGCCCAGACUCCUACGGGAGGCAGCAGUGGGGAAUUUUGGACAAUGGGGGCAACCCUGAUCCAGCCAUGCCGCGUGAGUGAAGAAGGCCU